AAAUAUAGUUUAAUAUUUUAAUAAAUAAUGUAAACAUAACAAAAAAAUUAUUUAUUAAAAUAUACACAUAACAAAGAAGACGGAAAGCUCCUCUCUCACAAGCCAGGCUAUCUCGCCACCUGCUAUACCUUUGAAUAUUUCAAAGGUCUUUUUUGAGAAGUAUUUCAAAGGUCCGUCUUCUUGACACUACCGGCGACAAGAGACAUUUUUACAACGAAAGAGUUCGAUAAUAGAAAGGUUAGUAAAAAAAUAAAAAUAUUCUUUGUCGUAAUUAUUUCAAAGGUCAUUUUUGAGAAGUCAAUAAAACUAUGUUUUGUUUUGUUAACAACAUGCAUUAUACCGUUUGAUUGAUAACAUAAUAACGACACUAGCACAUUUUACUAGUUUACACAUUAUAAUCAACCUAAUCGUUUUUGGUCAUAUUUUUGUUCUAAAUUAUUUAUGUUUUGCUU
rnacentral:sRNA from 1 species